UUUAGAAGAAUUUAUAUGCCAGGUUAUUAGUAGUUAAGGUCUUGAAAAUUAAAGGAUUUGGCGGUAUUUUAGUCUUUUCAGAGGAACCUGUCGUGUAAAUGAUAUUCCACGAUUAAUUAAACUUUUUUUAUUUAGUUUGUAUAUCGUCGUUAUUUGAAUAUUUUUUUAGGAUUUUAAUAUUCAGGAUUUUUUUUAGAAUAAAAGUCAGAUCAAGAUGCAGCUUAUGGAAAAGAAUUGAUGGGUUACAAUAAUUUUAUUUAAACGGAUUUGAUAUUUAAAAUUUUAAUGAAGGUGGAUUUGAAAGUAAUUAAUUAUAUUUAUUUUUAAUGAUUUAGCUCUAGAAUAUGU
rnacentral:rRNA from 1 species